rnacentral:rRNA from 1 species
UNUGACUUGAGUGCAGAAGGGGAGAAUGGAAUUNCAUGUGUAGCGGUGAAAUGCGUAGAUAUAUGGAGGAACACCAGUGGCGAAAGCGGCUCUCUGGUCUGUCACUGACGCUGAGGCUCGAAAGCGUGGGUAGCGAACAGGAUUAGAUACCCUGGUAGUCCACGCCGUAAACGAUGAGUGCUAGGUGUUAGGCCCUUUCCGGGGCUUAGUGCCGGAGCUAACGCAAUAAGCACUCCGCCUGGGGAGUACGACCGCAAGGUUGAAACUCAAAGGAAUUGACGGGGGCCCGCACAAGCGGUGGAGCAUGUGGUUUAAUUCGAAGCAACGCGAAGAACCUUACCAGGUCUUGACAUCCCGAUGCUAUUCUUAGAGAUAGGAAGUUACUUCGGUACAUCGGAGACAGGUGGUGCAUGGUUGUCGUCAGCUCGUGUCGUGAGAUGUUGGGUUAAGUCCCGCAACGAGCGCAACCCUUAUUGUUAGUUGCCAUCAUUAAGUUGGGCACUCUAGCGAGACUGCCGGUAAUAAACCGGAGGAGGGUGGGGAUGACGUCAAAUCAUCAUGCCCCUUAUGACCUGGGCUACACACGUGCUACAAUGGUCGGUACAACGAGUUGCGAGCCGGUGACGGCAAGCUAAUCUCUGAAAGCCGAUCUCAGUUCGGAUUGGAGGCUGCAACUCGCCUCCAUGAAGUCGGAAUCGCUAGUAAUCGCGGAUCAGCACGCCGCGGUGAAUACGUUCCCGGGCCUUGUACACACCGCCCGUCACACCACGAGAGUUUGUAACACCCGAAGUCGGUGAGGUAACCUUUUAG